AGCGAACGCUGGCGGCAGGCCUAACACAUGCAAGUCGAACGAACCUUUCGGGGUUAGUGGCGGACGGGUGAGUAACACGUGGGAACGUGCCUUUAGGUUCGGAAUAACUCAGGGAAACUUGUGCUAAUACCGAAUGUGCCCUUCGGGGGAAAGAUUAAUCGCCUUUUGAUCGGCCCGCGUCUGAUUAGCUAGUUGGUUGAGGUAAUGGCUCACCAAGGCGACGAUCAGUAGCUGGUCUGAGAGGAUGAUCAGCCACAUUGGGACUGAGACACGGACCAAAAUCCUACGGGAGGCAGCAGUGGGGAAUCUUGCGCAAUGGGCGAAAGCCUGACGCAGCCAUGCCGCGUGAAUGAUGAAGGUCUUAGGAUUGUAAAAUUCUUUCACCGGGGACGAUAAUGACGGUACCCGGAGAAGAAGCCCCGGCUAACUUCGUG
rnacentral:rRNA from 1 species